rnacentral:rRNA from 1 species
GACGAACGCUGGCGGCGUGCCUAAUACAUGCAAGUCGAGCGAAUCAAAGGGAGCUUGCUCCCUAAGAUUAGCGGCGGACGGGUGAGUAACACGUGGGUAACCUGCCUGUAAGACUGGGAUAACUUCGGGAAACCGGAGCUAAUACCGGAUAGUUUCUUUUCUCGCAUGAGAGAAGAUGGAAAGAUGGUUCUGCUAUCACUUACAGAUGGACCCGCGGCGCAUUAGCUAGUUGGUGAGGUAACGGCUCACCAAGGCGACGAUGCGUAGCCGACCUGAGCGGGUGAUCGGCCACACUGGGACUGAGACACGGCCCAGACUCCUACGGGAGGCAGCAGUAGGGAAUCUUCCGCAAUGGACGAAAGUCUGACGGAGCAACGCCGCGUGAGCGAAGAAGGCCUUCGGGUCGUAAAGCUCUGUUGUUAGGGAAGAACAAGUAUCGGAGUAACUGCCGGUACCUUGACGCUACCUAACCAGAAAGCCACGGCUAACUACGUGCCAGCAGCCGCUGUAAAAC